GGUUAAGCGACUAAGCGUACACGGUGGAUGCCCUGGCAGUCAGAGGCGAUGAAGGGCGUGCUAAUCUGCGAUAAGCGCCGGUAAGGUGAUAUGAACCGUUAUAACCGGCGAUACCCGAAUGGGGAAACCCAGUGUGACUCGUCACACUAUCAUUAACUGAAUCCAUAGGUUAAUGAGGCGAACCGGGGGAACUGAAACAUCUAAGUACCCCGAGGAAAAGAAAUCAACCGAGAUUCCCCCAGUAGCGGCGAGCGAACGGGGAGGAGCCCAGAGCCUGAAUCAGCAUGUGUGUUAGUGGAAGCGUCUGGAAAGGCGCGCGAUACAGGGUGACAGCCCCGUACACAAAAGCGCAUGUGCUGUGAGCUCGAUGAGUAGGGCGGGACACGUGGUAUCCUGUCUGAAUAUGGGGGGACCAUCCUCCAAGGCUAAAUACUCCUGACUGACCGAUAGUGAACCAGUACCGUGAGGGAAAGGCGAAAAGAACCCCGGCGAGGGGAGUGAAAAAGAACCUGAAACCGUGUACGUACAAGCAGUGGGAGCCCCACCACUAAGCCAGUGGUGAACUCCACAUACGCAUCCUUUGCUGAGGAUACGGUUAACGGAGCGAAAGCGACGUUCAACCUCAAAAGAAGCAGAGGGGGCUUAGUGGUGGGGUGACUGCGUACCUUUUGUAUAAUGGGUCAGCGACUUAUAUUCUGUAGCAAGGUUAACCGAAUAGGGGAGCCGUAGGGAAACCGAGUCUUAAUUGGGCGUUAAGUUGCAGGGUAUAGACCCGAAACCCGGUGAUCUAGCCAUGGGCAGGUUGAAGGUUGGGUAACACUAACUGGAGGACCGAACCGACUAAUGUUGAAAAAUUAGCGGAUGACCUGUGGCUGGGGGUGAAAGGCCAAUCAAACCGGGAGAUAGCUGGUUCUCCCCGAAAGCUAUUUAGGUAGCGCCUCGUGAAUUCAUCUCCGGGGGUAGAGCACUGUUUCGGCUAGGGGGCCAUCCCGGCUUACCAACCCGAUGCAAACUGCGAAUACCGGAGAAUGUUAUCACGGGAGACACACGGCGGGUGCUAACGUCCGUCGUGAAGAGGGAAACAACCCAGACCGCCAGCUAAGGUCCCAAAGUCAUGGUUAAGUGGGAAACGAUGUGGGAAGGCCCAGACAGCCAGGAUGUUGGCUUAGAAGCAGCCAUCAUUUAAAGAAAGCGUAAUAGCUCACUGGUCGAGUCGGCCUGCGCGGAAGAUGUAACGGGGCUAAACCAU
rnacentral:rRNA from 1 species